UUUGUCCAUCAGUGCAUAACGUAAUAUCUCGAUAAACUAUUGAAGGUCGACCUCCGACCCAAUGUCGCAAUUUCGUACGUCUUAAUCUUGUAAGGGAUCUAGCAUCAACAGAAUGAUUUCACUCGGCGUCUGUGAGCGCAGCGAUUAUUUCUGUUUUAAGUUGUUCUAUUCGAUACGAGCACGUCAUGAAGUUGUUCCUGAUCAUUUUGACCGUAUUUUACUUGACAAUUAUCUCAGAGGCUAGCUCGAAUUUGACAACAAUCAUUAGCAACGAUACCCUUGUGUUUAAGAUGAUGAUUUCACCUCCGUACAGAACCAAUUGCGAAAAAGGAGAAAUAUAUUUCAAAGGAAAGUGCCGUUUAAUCUUCCUAUAGGAUUGGAGAUGAGGCUCAACAAGAAGACCACGUAUAUUGUACAUUUGGAGCAAAUAGUAUAACUACAUUUUUCAAUUAACAAAAUAUACAGUGAUGUAAAUGAAUGUAAAAUGUACAAAUGUACAUUAAUGUAGAUCCACCUUUAUUGUCUCUAAUAAUAAAAAACCUGUUUUAAUUGCCUUU